rnacentral:ncRNA from 1 species
UUCAUGGUUCGCCCUCCGGGCGACGCAAGAGGGAACCGGGUGAGAUUCCCGGACAGUCCCGCUGCUGUAAUCCCCCGCGGAAACGCUUGUCUGUAUAAAGCCACUGGCAUUCUUGAACCAACGCCGGGAAGGAAAGACAAGCCGGGGAAAGUCAGAAUACCUGCCACAGU